UUGUUGGAGAGUUUGAUCCUGGCUCAGGACGAACGCUGGCGGCGUGCUUAACACAUGCAAGUCGAGCGGAAAGGCCCUUCGGGGUACUCGAGCGGCGAACGGGUGAGUAACACGUGAGCAACCUGCCCCAAGCUUUGGGAUAACCCUCGGAAACGGGGGCUAAUACCGAAUAUUCCUUCUGGCCGCAUG
rnacentral:rRNA from 1 species